GCACAUCUAGUCAAAAAUAUUGGAG
rnacentral:miRNA from 1 species